AGUAACGCGUGGGCAAUCUGCCUUAAGCAGGGGGAUAACACAGGGAAACUUGUGCUAAUACCGCAUAACGCUGCAUCGGGACAUCCCGAAGCAGCCAAAGGAGCAAUCCGGCUGAAGAGGAGCCCGCGUCUGAUUAGCUAGUUGGUGAGGUAACGGCCCACCAAGGCGACGAUCAGUAGCCGAACUGAGAGGUUGAACGGCCACAUUGGGACUGAGACACGGCCCAGACUCCUACGGGAGGCAGCAG
rnacentral:rRNA from 1 species